AGACGAUGUUUUGGGGCACUAGUCCUCUUCAUCUUCUUCCCGCAACGGAGCUCUACUCGAUUGCAUUGCAGUGCAGGUUGCUCACCAAUUUGGGGAUUGCAUUUCGUUGUUGGAUCGCACUAAGGUUCAAGUUCGUGCUCUUUCGAAUGUGCCGAAGGCUACUCUGGUCACAAUUGAGCAUCCUACUGAGGAUGAUUGGGAGGUUGUGAAGCUAAUUCUGAGCUUGCAAGGGCUGCAAUUUUGAAUCAGGUGAGGAUUCUUCAUGAAGAAAUGAAGUUUCCCUUGUGGUUGAACGGCCGCACUACCAUUACAUUUCAUGCAGCUUCAACCUUCCCGAAAAAAGCGUGCAACUGGUGCCAGGGACUGAAGUUGCAGUUGUUUCAUAGAGAGGCAAGACAGUCGGCCCACAUGGAGAUCGUUCCAUUCUCUCUCCAAAUCGAUGGAAUCAUAUUUCAAGGAGGCAAGAUCUUUCUGAUUCAGUUGCUAUUCACUUCGUCUUUAUUUGAGAACUUGUCUGCAUUCAUAUGCGUAUAUUCUACCCAAUGUGAUUGGAUUACUGUUUAGCUAUAAUUCAUAUAGGAUUACAGGCUCGAAUGCUAUUCGUUGGAACUGACAAAUGCUUUUGGUUCUUGUUCCUAUAUUUGGAUUUAAUCUUCUAAUUAUACAUUCAUGAUGCCUUUUAUCACACUGUUUCUUUCACAAUUAAUCAAAAAAGUUGGUGUCUUCCUGUGGAUUUUCCAUCCCUUCCUGUAUUAAGUGGCUAAUGGGGUAUGCUAAGCUUGCCACUUAACAAGAAAAUGUUAAGCAAAAUCAUUUAUAACCUUUCGUUGACAAAACUGAUUGUUUUAAUGAGCCUGCUCUCAUACCUGCUGGGGUAUAUUUAAAUGGAUGCAAUGGUGUUUUGAAGAAUGACAUUCCAUUGCUUUCAGUUUCUCCCUGCUGCUUUAAAAUAUUGAAAGACAAAGCUGCUGAAAGAAAUGGUCUAGAUGUUCUCAAUAGGCACAAACUUUGUGAUAAGAAAAACAUGUUUCUGACGACUGGCACAAGCACCUAUGUAGUUGUUGCAGAUUGGCCCCCAUGAGAAAGUUGUUACUGCUUUUCCAUAUGAAUAUUCUCGACAAGAGGAUGAAGAGGCGGCUUAGCAGUCUGACGAGUUAAAGGGAGUCUCAGAUUGGAAGUGAAAGGGCAUAAGUCUCAGAUUGAGGAAAAGGUACUGGAAUCAUCACAUGGAUCCCACAAAAACAAAACUAAGAAUGCUGAUCAACCAAUUGAAAUCUUAUGUGCAUGGAAGUUUUCCAGUGAAUCUCAACAUGCUGCCAGAAAUGCAUAUGAGCUUGAAGGUGGUCGAUCCUAAGAUGGCUGAUCCUGUGACCAUUAAUUCAGUUAGGGAGAGAACAUUUGGAAAAGACAUCAGUUCUGAUGCAUCACCUUUGUGUUGGAUGGAAACAAUUCCUUCUGACGUUUCAAACAGUAGGU